rnacentral:rRNA from 1 species
UACGGGGGGGGCAAGCGUUGUUCGGAAUUACUGGGCGUAAAGGGCUCGUAGGCGGCCAACUAAGUCAGACGUGAAAUCCCUCGGCUUAACCGGGGAACUGCGUCUGAUACUGGAUGGCUUGAAUCCGGGAGAGGGAUGUGGAAUUCCAGGUGUAGCGGUGAAAUGCGUAGAGAUGUGGAGGAACACCGAUGGCGAAGGCAGCCUUCUGGGCCAACACUGACGCUCAUGCACGAAAGCGUGGGGAGCAAACAGG